GUACUGCUGAGGAGUCCCACAAUAGGACGAAACGCCCGUCCAGUGC
rnacentral:hammerhead_ribozyme from 1 species